UAUAUAAUCAGGAUAACCCACCACGCACGCAGAGGAAGAACAAGAAACCGCCCUGGAAAGGGGACCUAAAGAAGCGGAGAAAAUAAGCUAACCAUUUACAACUGCCUCCAUACAUCCCGAGGAGACGGAGGGAGCCAUCUCUUACCGCCUCUGCACUGGCUGGAAAGCUGUCUUUAGUAACUUUUUCUCUACUUCCAAGGCACUAGAUCGAUCUAAAAAGAGAAGGGGAAAAAAAAAAGUGUUCCUUUAUAGCCCCCGUUUUGUUCCUCCCAUCCCUGAAUUAAGCCUCGAGAUUUAAGCUCUUUUCUCAGCGAGUUGCAAAUAAGACACAACAACUGCUCUGCUGCAGAGGUGACCGUCAGAGGAAACACACUGACCCCGGAGCGAGCCUGACCUGGCGGCCGGGUCCUUCCCGCAAAAGCGACAACAACAGCAACAAAAAUUAUCUCCGUUGGAGGAAGGGCUAAUGGAAUGAGUCAUCGACAGAGUGGAUUAUUUAAAGCACCAUGAGGAAAAUUAAGCUGUGAAGUGGAAUUCCAUCAGGCUGUCUACUGUGAAGCCCCGUGGCUUUAGAAAUGGGGCAGCAGUGGCCAGAAAUGACACUCAAAAGCAAAUAACAUGUAAUUAAUAGAAUUCCAGUUCCUGUGAAAGAGAGAAGAUGCUUUUACUUCACACAACCAUCUAAGGAAGU